rnacentral:rRNA from 1 species
GACGAACCGUACGCACGUUACUCGGAAUUACUGGGCUUAAAGGGUGCGUAGGCUGCGCGGUAAGUUGGGUGUGAAAGCCCUCAGCUCAACUGAGGAAUUGCACUCAAAACUACCGUGCUCGAGGGAGACAGCGGUAAGCGGAACUCAAGGUUGAGCGGUGAAAUGCGUUGAUAUCUUGAGGAACACCGGGGGCGAAGGCGGCUUACUGGGUCUCUUCUGACGCUGAGGCACGAAAGCUAAGGUAGCAAACGGGAGUAGAUACCCCGGUAGUCUUAGCUGUAAACGAUGAGCACUUGAUUGAAGGGUCCUCCAUAGCCUUUCAGUCGUAGCGAAAGUGUUAAGUGCUCCGCCUGGGGAGUAUGGUCGCAAGGCUG